rnacentral:sRNA from 1 species
AACAAUGUGCGGGAUAUCCCACCGGGGACUCCUUAGCGUAACACAUCCAUGAGUACACUUCCAUGUUGCUUCCCCAGAUCAGUGGCCACUGCUGCCAGCUCUGUUCUCCAAUGCGGGAUCUUGAGUUGAGGUGUCUGGGGAAGGGCCAACUGUCAAACUUUUGAACCAAUUAGUAGUCUGAGAAGGCUAUAUGCCGCAAUAUUUAAAACAUGUUAAAACUUUCAACAACGGAUCUCUUGGCUCUCGCAUCGAUGAAGAACGCAGCGAAAUGCGAUAAGUAAUGUGAAUUGCAGAAUUCAGUGAAUCAUCGAAUCUUUGAACGCACAUUGCGCCCUUUGGCAUUCCUUAGGGCAUGCCUGUUCGAGCGUCACUAAAACCACCUCACAGAUAAUGUGGUAUUGGUGGAAGUGGGUAGUACUAACAGUGCUUUGUCCUACUCUACUAAAAUGGAUAGGCCAGAAAAGUGAACCAUGGUAAUAGACUCUCAGAGUGUUCUAGAAUGCUAAACUAGUCUUAUCCAGGUUGGAAUCUGAGCUACUGGACCCCCCAUUUAGUCCAAAACAGAGAGGUUGACCUCGGAUCAGGUAGGGAUACCCGCUGAACUUAAGCAUAUCAAUAAGCGGAGGA